rnacentral:rRNA from 1 species
UACGUAGGGUGCGAGCGUUGUCCGGAAUUACUGGGCGUAAAGAGCUCGUAGGUGGUUUGUCGCGUUGUUCGUGAAAACUCACAGCUCAACUGUGGGCGUGCGGGCGAUACGGGCAGACUGGAGUACUGCAGGGGAGACUGGAAUUCCCGGUGUAGCGGUGAAAUGCGUAGAUAUCGGAAGGAACAUCAGUGGCGAAAGCGGCUUCCUGGACCAGAACUGACGAUCAGGCACGAAAGCGUGGGGAGCAAACAGG